GACCAACAAUGAAAAUAGCCAAAUUUGAACAUCAGCAGAAGUUCCAGUCUGCUGAUGCCUGAGCUCUGUAGCUCAGGGA